AAAGCAGGUCAUAGUGAUCCGGUGGUUCUGAAUGGAAGGGCCAUCGCUCAACGGAUAAAAGGUACUCCGGGGAUAACAGGCUGAUACCGCCCAAGAGUUCAUAUCGACGGCGGUGUUUGGCACCUCGAUGUCGGCUCAUCACAUCCUGGGGCUGAAGUAGGUCCCAAGGGUAUGGCUGUUCGCCAUUUAAAGUGGUACGCGAGCUGGGUUUAGAACGUCGUGAGACAGUUCGGUCCCUA
rnacentral:rRNA from 1 species